CAAUCUUUAGGCAGCGGUACCAAUUCGGUCUAAGAUUUCAAAUGACCUAAUAAACCAGGAGUUUAGUUUCCCCCUCUUGCCAAACCUACGGAUUCUCUUGGAAGGAGUGAACUUAAGGAACACUCGAUUACCUUUCUCAAAUUCUAAAUCUCUCCUCCCGGUGUCCGCAUAACUCUUCUGUCUGUUCUGAGCCGUUUGAAUGUUCUUCCUGAUCUUAACUAUUUUGGCUGU
rnacentral:lncRNA from 1 species